rnacentral:lncRNA from 7 species
UCAGGUUUGGCGUGGAGAUUACUGAUGAAGAGUUUGAGCUGCUACUUGACAGAAUCCCCCUUGAUGAAGAUGGAAAUGUCAGAUACCCCCAGUUCAUGGCCAGGUUUGAUUCCUGAGGGCCGUGUGGAAUCGUCCUAAUCCGGGAAGAGCCACUGCCUCCCUGUGUGAUCUGACACAGUGACAUAUCACUUGACCUCGGUCGCGGCAGCUGUACAGCGAGGUGGAAAAGGCGGCUGACGGACAAGCAGGGGAUGCCUUUCAGCACAGCUUCCUCCAGAUACAGUUGAGAAGAAUGUAUGCUAUAUGGAAGAACACGCAGAAGUUGUGAGCAACCACACGGUCUGAAUGUUAAGGGUUCAUCCAUCUUCCUGCACAAGCCACAUACAGAAUGCCUUUAUCUGGAAAAGACAAACAUCCCAGGAGUCUGUAAGAAGUAAGAAGUAAGCUGUUGCAGCUUGAAUUUGUGAGAGGACUUCUGUGGAGCCUGAACCACCUCCCUCCAUCUCAAAGGAGACCGAGCCUUCCCUCUUUCUUAAAGCAAGGCACCCUGGCGGCCUGCGUAGUAAGAUUGUAGCUCAGCAAGCUCCUGCUUGCAGCAUGUCCCAGCAGGCUGCAGAAGUACCCCUUACUCCCAAGUGGCAUAAAGAACACUGUUUUGAGAAGAGGAUCCAGGGAUGGCCAAGACAAGAGAAAUAGGAGUGAAGCUGAGGGGAACGUGGAAAGGCAGACCCACUCCAAGGCUUUUGACUUGCCACACCUUUCCGAGAGGAUGACAUCUCAGAGGCUCUGUGUCUGUCCCAGAUUGUGACUGUUUUCUUCUGAAGAGCAAACGUGAGAUUCAAAGAGCGCCUGGCAAAAGCUGCUUCUAGUACUGCAGCAGCAGCAUGGGAAGUAUUUCAUGUAUGUAGAAGAUAGAGCAUCUGUGUAGGCGGUUGUUUUCUGCAACUCUCUGUGAGUUUGGGGAGAAGUUAUUAAGUACUGCUUCUCCUUCUUUCUUUAAAAAAGGACAGAGAGAGAAAGCCUGCAUUUUCUACCAUUUCCCAAGAGGCUUUUUAUCUGUUUAAACCAACUAGGGAUUUUUCACAUAUUGACAUAAGCAUUCAUUUGCUAAUUUGCUGGACAUUAAACUGCACAGCAUUCUUGAAUGAGGCUGGAAUACUUGGGUACUUAGUGCUGCUCAGACCCCGCAUCAUUCCCAGUACACAUAUGGUUUUCCUCCUCUAUCUCCUAGAUAAAAGUCACUGUUUGAUCGCCUUAAGGGAAAGAAUGAGUUAAAUGGACCAAUAUUUUAGCCUUGGCUCUAAAACUGGGCCUUUUCAGAAACUCCUCAGCACCUGCAGCAGCUAGGUCAUUUGCACAUACAUAAAUAAAUAAAUUAACAAUGAAUAAAUAAUUUAAUCCCGCCACACAAUGCCACCUUGCAGAUCUGAUCCUUUGCUCCCAGUGAAUUUGUCCAUUCCUAAUUCUUUUUGAUAAAGUCUUCAGAUAC